rnacentral:lncRNA from 1 species
GGGCAUUGUGUCGGGGUUUCAGGGCAUCGUGUCGGGGUGUCGGGGCAUCGUGUCUGGGUGUCAGGGUGUCAUUUUCUUCUUCCUCCUCUUCUUUUUCCUCUUCUUCCUUCUCUUCUUCUUCUUCCUUUUCUUCUUCUUCUUCUUGUUCUUCUUCUCCUCCUCCUCCUCCUCCUCCUUCUUCUUCUUCUCCUCCUUCCCCUUCUUCUCCUUCUUCU